CUACCAAGGCGACGAUCCGUAACUGGUCUGAGAGGAUGAUCAGUCACACUGGAACUGAGACACGGUCCAGACUCCUACGGGAGGCAGCAGUGGGGAAUAUUGGACAAUGGGCGAAAGCCUGAUCCAGCCAUGCCGCGUGUGUGAAGAAGGUCUUCGGAUUGUAAAGCACUUUAAGUUGGGAGGAAGGGCAGUAAGUUAAUACCUUGCUGUUUUGACGUUACCAACAGAAUAAGCACCGGCUAACUUCGUGCCAGCAGCCGCGGUAAUACGAAGGGUGCAAGCGUUAAUCGGAAUUACUGGGCGUAAAGCGCGCGUAGGUGGUUCAGCAAGUUGGAUGUGAAAUCCCCGGGCUCAACCUGGGAACUGCAUCCAAAACUACUGAGCUAGAGUACGGUAGAGGGUGGUGGAAUUUCCUGUGUAGCGGUGAAAUGCGUAGAUAUAGGAAGGAACACCAGUGGCGAAGGCGACCACCUGGACUGAUACUGACACUGAGGUGCGAAAGCGUGGGGAGCACACAGGAUUAGAUACCCUGGUAGUCCACGCCGUAAACGAUGUCGACUAGCCGUUGGGAUCCUUGAGAUCUUAGUGGCGCAGCUAACGCGAUAAGUCGACCGCCUGGGGAGUACGGCCGCAAGGUUAAAACUCAAAUGAAUUGACGGGGGCCCGCACAAGCGGUGGAGCAUGUGGUUUAAUUCGAAGCAACGCGAAGAACCUUACCUGGCCUUGACAUGCUGAGAACUUUCCAGAGAUGGAUUGGUGCCUUCGGGAACUCAAACACAAGUGCUGCAUGGCUGUCGUCAGCUCG
rnacentral:rRNA from 1 species